ensembl:lncRNA
CCUGUAAUAUGCUAACCCUGAGGGGGAUGUGUGCAGGCCCAGGCUGCAGAGCCACAGCUUCUGUAGGCCAAAGCUUCAGCCAGCACCAAGGACAAAGCCCACACCGGCUGGAGAGCCUGAGAGGGGUCUGCCCGAGGAUCAGGGAUGCAGCAAAACCAACGGGAGCUGAGCUCGCGGUUUGGGAGGCAGCUGCAGAUUCCUCAGCCUGGUUGUAAGGGGCUAUAGGCACGGGGAAAUAAGCAGGAAAUCUUCUUAGCUGAUAUAGGUCACCGUGAGUUGCAUUGCCUGCAAACAGGGAAGUGUGUUGCAGGAAUUAUGCUCUGAGCCCGAGCAUUUUCACGAGCUAAUGAAAGGCAUUUUGUAAUUACGUCAAGCAGAAGAGAAACAUCUCUACAGUUACUUAGUAACUGAGAUACUUUGUCAACAUAGAAGUGACAGGGUUCUUAUUGCCUGGUUAGCUACUCAGGAAAAUUGAACUAUUUACAGCAGAGGCAUUCAACGUGCUAUUUGCUAAUGCUGCAUUUCAGUGGUACAGCCAUGGAAAUGAAGGCUCAUUAAUAACCUGGAGUUUGUAAUGCUAGAAUCGUGGUGGAGCCCCUUGGAAAAAAAAGUAAUGGUUGCUGUGAAUGGGUUUUGUGUCUGCAAGGUGUGCUUUAUGAGAUGGAGAAUUAAACCAGCUCCGUGAAUCAGAGGGCAUGGAUACGGUGAAGCUGCUGAUCUUGAACUCCAAUUUAUUUUUGAAGACACCUACAGCUCUGCAGAAACCCGUGCCUGCAGGUGAACUUGAGGGCCUCUAACUUUAUUCAAGUCAGGGUAAAAAAAAAAAAGUCUCCUGAUAAAUAGGGCGGAAAGAAGACAAUUCGUACAGGCCACCUUCUGCCAGUGAUUGGUAAAGCUGCAGCCUCCUAAAAGCCAGGGAUGUGAGAGCUGGAAAAAAUGCCGGUGGGGAUGCUUUUAAACGUCGGCACGCUGUGGAAAGGAUAAUUGAUUGCUGCUCUUUUGCAAGUGGCACGAAGUGUGAGCGGCCGUGAGCCACAGCGAAGCAGAUGGAUGGGGCUGGAGGAAGCCGUGGACAGGACCUAUGGGCGCUGUAUUUGACUGUGCAUCCGUAUGGGGUCCCACUGCUCCAGGUGGCCUGGGGGUGUCCCUUCAUUAGCACUACUUCUAAUCAGCAGUGAGCACCCAGCAGGCAAACUGUGUGGAAAAGGAGGAAAAGAGGAAACUGCAGGAAAGCCAAUGAGGAGGUCCCCUGCUGCGCUGAAGCAACUCCCUUGUUCUUUCCAAAGUAGGCUGCAUAAAUAUUGAUCUUGCUGGGAUGUGUCCUACAUUCAUUUGCACAGACGUUACAAAUGUGCUUAAGAAUGAGAAAUCAAUCUUGUUUUCCUGUGUGGUAAACACGGGCAGCCAAGGAUGCGCAUAGAUAAAGUGAAUUACAGCCCUCAGCCCUGCCACUUGUACGCUGGGUUGGAAAAGGUGUUCUUGGGUAACAGAAGAGAAAAAGAUGUUCUUACCUACUGGACUAUUUUAAGGUAUUUUCACAAAUCCCUCCACAGACCCUUUAAAAUGCCUUCAACUCCCGUUUUGGUUCUUGUAAUAAUCUGUAAGUUAAAUAGCUUUCUGCUGAAUUUGCUUGGGUUGCUUUUUCACAACCUACUGCCAGCAAGUCAAGGUACACUCUUGGACAUUUGUAUCACUUCAUCACUCCCUCUCCCAUUAACCUCUCAUAUGGUUUAGCAUUGCAACACUGUAAUUUGGAAAAUCAUAUCAUUAGGUUGCAAAAGCUGUAGGAUUCUUGCAGUCGACAGCCACGGGGUGGCUUCUGAGUCACUGGAUGAUUAAUAAUUAAUGAUAAUUGUUGGAUAAUCUAUUUAGACAGUCACAGCGUAGGGAAUUUAUUACUGUUUUCUCUGGUGAAUACUGCCACUAAAGUAAUAAAACUUUAAUGUGUCCCCUCUCCUUGUCGUUCUACCGAAUUCCUGUUAAGAAACAGCAGAAAGCUGCCACAUCUUGCUAUAGAUGGCAAUGCGGUACAAUGGCAGCUCCUGCUUUCUUACCAACUGACGUGUACGUGUGUUUGUAAAGCAGGGGACAGGAGAGAGAUGUAUUUCUACGGUCAGGUAGAUUUUAAAAGAAAAUGAUUCGGUUCUCUUGAAGUGUUUGCUUUACCUUGCUUGGCUUAGCAUUUGGACGAUUUCUGUAUUAUUUGCUCGGCUCAUUAUUCCCAGUUAUUUUCAACUUCAUUUCCGCUAAAUUACAUGUGCUCCUCAGAAAGUGUUUAAAGUGUUUAUGUUAUACAAAUAACAAAUGCACAGUUCUCUUUCACGAAGUGAUGCAGGAAAGAAUGGUGACCAUGGAAUGCUUAUAAAGUUGGCAAAGGCGGGAAGUCAAACUGAGUCAAGUGAUCCCCAUUCCUUAAAAUGGCCCACCACCCCAACAGACCUCAGUCCAGACCAACAGUGGACCUCAGAAUGGAAUAACUGCUGUGCUGCAUUUCCCAGCUGUGACUCAGGCGCUGUGGGAUGUUUCGCGUUGCUUCCCGACAUGCAGAGAUGCUCACCUUUCCCGUGAGGAUGCUGCACGUAGACUUUUCCUGCUUUGCGGAAGCGUAGUUGUAUCUGAACGCUGACUUAUUUCUUUGUGACUAAUGAGCCUGCAUGAAAGCAUUGGAUAGUCUCGAAUGGGCAGGUGUAUUAUACUCCGUGUUAAGAAAUUUGUUUUGUUCAGCUGUAUGUCAAACGUGAUUUGUAGCUGGGCUGUGGAAUCAAUCCAAAAGGAUAAAUUUGCUUACCAAAGGUUGCUGUCAAGCUCUACCGUGCUGAAGCUCCAGCUUACAGAAGGCAGCGUCUUCCAACAAAAGGGUUUCAGCCAAAUAAAUGGAGCUUAGAGAAAAUGCAAUGUUACAGCUGAAGUACCGGGAUAAUUGAGCCUGUAACAUCUGCUGAAAUGUAGUGACACCAAAAAUAAACACUUCUGCCCAUGUUGCUAUUCCCUGGUACAGCAGUGUAUAAACAUGUGAUGCGACCCCAGCACAUCAGGGAAUGUGGGAACAGACUGGUGUUGCCAUCAUAAGUACCCUUCCCCUGUCAAGGAAGGAGCUUUCCGAGCACAGCUGUAAUAAGGACAUUGCUUGGGUUGCUUUCCAGCAGCUUUUAUGAGAAGGGAAAAGGGAUCAUGUGCUUAAUUAGCCCCUUUAGUAAGAGGUGUUCUUGUGUAUGUUUUGCAGCUGGAACAAAGGGCCAGGGUGAGGGUGUUUGCUUGAUUUUUCCCUUAAAGAGAGAAAAUGUAUGAAAUCGUUCCUGGAUGGAAAAUAGGGAAAAAAAAAAUAGCAAAAAUCUUUUGUCUGUUAUAAGGACUAAUUUUCCUAGGAAAAUGCUCAAGAAUGAGAUUUUCCUUUUGUUGCAAAUUACUGUUGAGUUUGAUUAAACAGAACCAUU